rnacentral:rRNA from 1 species
AAUAGAUACCCAGGUAGUCCACGCCGUAAACGAUGGAUGCUAGCUGUAGGGGGUAUCGACCCCUUCUGUAGCGAAGCUAACGCGUUAAGCAUCCCGCCUGUGGAGUACGGCCGCAAGGCUAAAACAUAAAGGAAUUGACGGGGACCCGCACAAGCGGUGGAUCGUGUUCUUUAAUUCGAUGAUAAACGGAGAACCUUACCAGGGCUUGACAUCCUUGGAAUUUCUGCGAAAGCAGUUAGUGCCUUUUGGAACCAAGUGACAGGUGAUGCAUGGCCGUCGUCAGCUCGUGUCGUGAGAUGUUUGGUUAAGUCCAUCAACGAGCGCAACCCUUAUGUUUAGUUGUAUUUUUCUAAACAGACUGCCCCGGUAACGGGGAGGAAGGAGGGGAUGAUGUCAGGUCAGUAUUUCCCUUACGUCCUGGGCUAGAAACACGAUACAAUGGCUAGUACAAUGCGCAGCGAAGCCGCGAGGUGGAGCAAAUCGCACCAAAGCUAGUCCCAGUUCGGAUUGGAGGCUGAAACUCGCCUCCAUGAAGUCGGAAUCG